GACUUGAGUCUGAAGAAAACUGGAAGUUGACCCUAUUCUUCAUGCGUGCACCCUGCUGCUUGCACUUGAAAUAAACGUGAACUUGCGGUAGACUCGAGCUUGCAAACCUUGUCCUUCAUGCGGCUUGUGCUACUUCUCAUUUGACUUGAAAAAAACUGGAGGUUAACCCUAUUCUUCAGGCGGGAUCCUUCUGCCUCUAACUUGAACUUGAAAACUGAAAGUUGACCCUGUUCUUCAGGCGGGAUCCUGAUGCCUCUUUGACUUGAACUUGUAAACUGAAAAUUGACGUUGUUCUUCAGGCAGGCUCUUGAUGUUUCUAUACCUUGAACUUGAAAAUUGAAAGUUGACCAUGUUCUUUAGGCGGGCUCCUGAUGCUUCUCUGACUUGAAAUUGUAAACUGAAAAUUGACCCUGUUCUUCAGGAGAGCUUCUCCUGAUGCUUCUCUAACUUGAACUUGAAAAUUGAACGCUGACCCUGUUCUUCAGGCAGGCUCCUGAUGCCUCUCUGACUUGAACUUGUAAACUGAAAGUUGUCCCUGUUCUUCAGGAGGGCUUCUCCUGAUGCUUCUCUAACUUGAACUUGGAAAAUGAAAAUUGACCCUGUACUCCAAAUGGGCUCUUGAUGCUUCUUGAACUUGAAAAUUAAAAGUUGACCCUUUUUUUCAAGCAGGCUCCUGAUGCCUCUUGAACUUUAAAAUCGAAAGUUGACCCUAUUCUUCAGGCGGGCUCCUAAUGCCUCUAACUCGAACUCUAAGUGAAUUCUGAAAUGACUUCCCUCGUUCUCCAGGUGGGCGCUUGCUAAUGACUUGAAACUUAAAAUGAAUUCCCUCAUUCUCCAGAUGGGCACCUGCUAAUGCCUUGAACUUGAAAUGAAUUUCCUCAUUCUCCAGGUGGGCGCCUAGUAAUUACUUGAAACUUAAAAUAAAUUUUCUCAUUCUCCAGAUGGGCGCCUGCUAAUGCCUUGAACUUGAAAUAAAUUUCCUCAUUUUCCAAGUGGGAGCCUGAUAACUUAAAACUUGAAAUGAAUUCCCUCAUUUUCCAGGUGGGUGCCUGAUGACUUAAAACUUAAAAUAAAUUCCCUCGUUCUACAAGUGGGCUCCUGAUGACUUAACUUGAAAUGAAUUCCCUCGUUCUCCGGGUGGGCGCCUGAUGACUUAAAACUUGAAAUAAAUUCCCUCGUUCUUCAGGUGGGGGCCGGAUGACUUAAAACUUGAAAU
rnacentral:lncRNA from 1 species